rnacentral:rRNA from 1 species
AUUGAACGCUGGCGGCAGGCUUAACACAUGCAAGUCCAGCGGUAACAGAGAGAAGCUUGCUUUUCUGCUGACGAGCGGCGGACGGGUGAGUAAUGCCUAGGAAUCUGCCUAGUAGUGGGGGAUAACUUGCCGAAAGGUAAGCUAAUACCGCAUACGUCCUACGGGAGAAAGGAGGGGACCUUCGGGCCUUUCGCUAUUAGAUGAGCCUAGGUCGGAUUAGUUAGUUGGUGAGGUAAUGGCUCACCAAGACCGCGAUCCGUAACUGGUCUGAGAGGAUGAUCAGUCACACUGGAACUGAGACACGGUCCAGACUCCUACGGGAGGCAGCAGUGGGGAAUAUUGGACAAUGGGGGGAACCCUGAUCCAGCCAUGCCGCGUGUGUGAAGAAGGUCUUAGGAUUGUAAAGCACUUUAAGUUGGGAGGAAGAGCAGUUAACUAAUAUUUGACUGUUUUGACGUUACCGACAGAAUAAGCACCGGCUAACUUCGUGCCAGCCGCCGCCGUAAAAC